GCCCGACGAAGCGGGCACAUCCGGCUCGCAAGAUUAAUUGCCAAUAAACCUCUAUUACAGAGACCUCUUCCCGCACCGUCACUCUUCUCACGAUAUCGCCGUCGUUUCCCGGUCAAUCGCUUCGUACGCAACAACGUCGAUCGCCUCUACUUUUUAGUGAGACCCCUUGACGAGAAUAACGAGAUAACCCGGAAAUUAGAUUAUUCAGCGUCACGCUUUCGCAAAAGAAAGAGAGAAAAAAAAGGAAGAUGCGACGAAAAAUUAUUGAUCACACAAAAGAUAAUUUAUGACAGAAACGGUGUAACAUAACUCAGAGACGCGGAAUUUAUUCCUCACGGUUAUAACGAUUCACGGCGACUGUCACGAUUAUUCACGCAAUACGAGCUGUCUCGAAACAAAAUGCGCUGUCUCGCAAGAAGAUUGAUAAUUUAUUAUCCCGCUGUGCGAAGCGUCUAAAUUUAGUCUACGUCCUGAAAGUUUGGUAUUAGAAGAAUUUGUGCGAUGAAAGAAAAUACGCGACGCGACAUGAAUGCCCAUUAGCAAAAUGGCAAAUUUUAUCAAAGAGAAAAAUGAUGCCGGUUUGCGUGCUUAGAAGCUGCGUGAUUAUGCAUGCAAUAAAUCUCGCUUCGAAAUCGCCAAGUGAAUGCUUAGGAACACGUGCGAAUCGAUCGUAGCCUAUCUUGCACCUCGGCCUGGUAAUCGAGGGAAAUUGCUUUCAUCUGAAUUCAAAAGCAUGUACGGGAGAUCAAAGUUCUUACGUGCCGGCGAUGACGAAACGAACGGACGAUGGUGCGAAGAACUUAUCACGCGAGCGUCGAUUAAAGUUUCCACUUUGCACCUGGUUUCAUGAAUUUCUCAACCAUGAUUGAUCGUUCCCGAAGCUCUUUGAAAAUUGUCACCCUCCGUUCGGACACAUUCCGAGAGCGAAUGUUAAUAAAGGAUGACAAGUUCGCCAUAUGAUUGACGCAAUACGCGUAGUAUGGAGGCCGACAAUACGUUAACCGUAUAAGAAUACGGACGGAAAAGUUUACCGCUUAUGAGCAUCGACAGAAUCGAUACCCGCAUAUCACGAAGGUAUAUAGAAGGAAAAGAGGGCGGCUGAAUGAAAGAGAGGGUAAAUUGAUGGAACGGUCCGAUUAAAAGCUAAUGACAUCGCGUUUCUACGCGAAUGACGGCUUCAAAGGAAAGCUUUUUCUGAAGUUCGUUGGCUUGACAAACGAUCGUAAGACCAACAAGAAACGGUGUCUGGCGCGAACCAUCUUAAUGAAAUGGUCUUAAUUGAACCAAUUGAUUAAUUUUUCUACGUUGUGUGAACGUAAAAAUUUUCAAUAUGCUUUCAUUAAUAAACAGGAAAUAAUGUGGAAGAUAACAAAUGUUAAAUUAACAAACUAGAAUAGAGAGAGAGGAUUAAAUAAUUUGUGAUAUGU